UACGUAGGGGGCAAGCGUUGUCCGGAAUCAUUGGGCGUAAAGCGCGUGUAGGCGGCCCGGUAAGUCCGCUGUGAAAGUCGGGGGCUCAACCCUCGAAUGCCGGUGGAUACUGUCGGGCUAGAGUGCGGGAGAGGCGAGUGGAAUUCCUGGUGUAGCGGUGAAAUGCGCAGAUAUCAGGAGGAACAUCUGCGGCGAAGGCGGCUUCCUGGCCCAUUACUGACGUUCAGGUACGAAAGCGUGGGUAGCAAACAGG
rnacentral:rRNA from 1 species